GUCAACUACCCCGCCCUAAAGGACGGAGCUUGUCAAAGCGAGGUUGACCAGACUCAGCACUCGAAAGAGUGCUACGCCAUACCGAGGUCGUUAAGACUUACCAGCAGAUGCUUCCUGAGUCUGCUGCUCUAAA
rnacentral:sRNA from 12 species